CUGCUUUGUUUAAUAUCUAGAGGCCCUGUUGCAUGCAGUGAGACUUCAAUUGAUGUAGCAAUGAAUUCAUUGUUGUCUCAUCAAGUUGUUCCCCUUGUAAGACUGGAGUGAGUAGGUGAUUGGAUUGUUCUAGGAAACAUCUCACAUUAUUCUGGUAGAAGACCCAUCUGCAUGUACCUUCUGUUUUUCCAAAACCCUUCACUUUGUUUGUGUAAACUUGAUGAAAAUAGUUUUGAAUACUGUGAAUACUGUAUUUCACACCAAAAAUUUGAAUUGGUAAAUUAUGUCAAUUAUUGCAUCAUAUUUACCAGGUGCAUAGUUUUUGGUGAAGGGUGCCACUGGAAACACAAGGGUCAUCAUAGAAUAGAGUAUUAUAAAAUAACAUGUAUAUAACGUGUGCUCUGAUUGGACUAAGCCUGUGUUUAGAUCAGGCCAUCCAAACACGGAAACUAUAAAGUAAUUGUAUAGUAGCUCCUCUUCACGCAAUGGAGAGUUGUUAACAAACUGUACAGGGGGUGGUUGGAAUGAGAUUAUCUUUAGAGUUAUCGGACACUGAAGGGGGAAAUAGUGCUGUAAAUCGAUUGUUUUGUGUGCAUGUGUCACUUAAGUUAGCAGGUGUAGAACAAGGGCCGUAGCUAGCAUGUAUAGUUGGG
rnacentral:lncRNA from 1 species